rnacentral:lncRNA from 9 species
AAUCCUCUUCCUUGACAAUUGCAACAGCAGCCCUGGGGAAAGCUUUGAUUGACACAGCUUGAGUCAUCUGAAUAUCCAUGAACCAAACAGUGUGCCGGAGGGAACAUGACACUCUGAUUGGCUAUACCCAGGUGAUGUGUUCAGCUCUGGAGCUGAAUGUGAGAUGGGCCUCUGCUGAGGUACUGAGAUUGACCACAGAAAAAUAAUUGUUCACCCAACACAUGCUGGAUUUAUGCUUGGUAUUCUGAUAAGCAAAAAAGAGUCUGGUAGAGGUAUGGUUCAGUAGUUAUACCCUCUCAGCUUCUGUAAAGCCUUGUCUAGGCACUGAGCCCUGAUACAAUAUCCCAGGUAGCAGAAUGGGAUCCAGCAAUGAGUUUUUGCUUGAUUCUUACGGCUGACAUAACAGGGUCAGGAACUUUUAGAUACUGCAGAUAUUGCAGUGCCACAAAUACCCAAGUAUAGACAGCAAUACUGAAUGGCUUUUGCUGAAGUAUCUCAUCCUUCUUCACAGUUAAUUGUUUUAUUUGGAACUGCCCUUGCUUUAAAUAAAAAAAAAUACAUGUUUUAUCCUUCACUUUGGAGUACAGAUCUUUAAAGAAUGUCUCAAUAAUUCUUAUUUCAUGUAAAUAUACUGGAAGCCAUAACUGUGUGUGUGUGUGUGUGUGUGUUUUAUUUAUUUUAUUUUAUUUUAUUUUAUUUUAUUUUAUUUUAUUUUAUUUUUUUAUAAACUAAUUCAAACAUACAGUAACGCACAGAGAAUAGUAUAAGGAACACAGUUACAGCUAUUACUACUGUUCAACAAAUCUUGGCACUUUUACAUAUUGGCUUCAUAGUUUUAUUUUCGAACAAAGACAGUAUUGUGGAUAAGGGUCGAAACCCUCUUGUAUCCAUUCAAACUCCAAUUUCCAUUCUUUCCAAAUUACAAGUAUCUCAAAUCUAGUGUUGGUUAUCUGCCUAUCUCUGUCUGUCUGUCUGUCUGUCUGUCUGUCUAUCUGGCUGCUUCUGUUUUAGAACUUCACUUUGCUUUCUUUAGUUCAUUAUUCCAUGCCUGUGUAUGGCUAAUCUAUAGUGUUUUUAUAGAAAGUGUUAAUUAAAGUUCCCCAUUAAUUAAAAACAAACACAUACAUACACCACGCAAACACCCUAACACUAAAAAAAAAACCUAUAUUUUUUUCUAUAGCCUUUGUAAGAUAUUUGUUUUUUUAAAAAAACUCCUCUGAUUAUGAUUGUGAACUUGUCAAUUUCUGCUUUUAAUUAUUUUUGCUUUUGUAUUUUGAAGUGAUGCUAUUGGAGGUAUAUACGAUUAUGAUUGUGAGAGUUUAAGGAUUAUAUUGUGUUUCACUUAAUCUUCAUUAAUAAUUCUGCCAUGAAUAAUUUUUUUUAUGUAGUAGUAGUAGUAGUAGUUAGAGAUUUCUCUUAUUACUCUUUUUUUCCUAUUUUAUUUGGGUUUGCUGAUCAUUUUUCUUUUCUUUACGCAUUUAAUUAUUAGGAGUUCCCGUCGUGGCUCAGUGGUUAGCAAAUCCGACUAGGAACCAUGAGGUUGUGGAUUCGAUCCCUGCCCUUGCUCAGUGGGUUAAGGAUCUGGCGUUGCAGUGAGCUAUGGUGUGGGUUGCAGAUGUGGCUCGGAUCCCAUGUUGCUGUGGCUCUGGCGUAGGCUGGUGGCUGCAGUUCUGAUUCAACCCCUAGCCUGGGAA